GACGAACGCUGGCGGCGUGCUUAACACAUGCAAGUCGAACGGAAAGGCCCUGCUUUUGUGGGGUGCUCGAGUGGCGAACGGGUGAGUAACACGUGAGUAACCUGCCCUUGACUUUGGGAUAACUUCAGGAAACUGGGGCUAAUACCGGAUAGGAGCUCCUGCUGCAUGGUGGGGGUUGGAAAGUUUCGGCGGUUGGGGAUGGACUCGCGGCUUAUCAGCUUGUUGGUGGGGUAGUGGCUUACCAAGGCUUUGACGGGUAGCCGGCCUGAGAGGGUGACCGGCCACAUUGGGACUGAGAUACGACCCAGACUCCUACUGGAGGCAGCAGUGAAGAAUAUUCCACAAUGGGCGGAAGCCUGAUGCAGCAACGCCGCGUGCGGGAUGACGGCCUUCGGGUUGUAAACCGCUUUCGCCUGUGACGAAGCGUGAGUGACGGUAAUGGGUAAAGAAGCACCGGCUAACUACGUG
rnacentral:rRNA from 1 species